GUGUUUCGACACAGCGCCACCUAGUGGUCAGGAGAUAUGAAAAAUGCAUAUUUUGGCUUAUAACUACUGAAUGGUUUGGCCAAAAAUCACACAACUGGUCUCUUUAGAUUCAGUGAGUCAUGUCGAGUCGAAUGAUAUCCAAUUUUCCUGUGUCGGCCAUUUUAGGCGUCGGCCAUUUUGAAUUAUGUUUCAAAAUGCUGUAUUUUUUGAACGCAGCAUCGUAUCGUUUCGCAAAUAAUUACAAAAAUAUUCGGCUCCAUGCCCUGAAGGUACUCAAAAAGUUUGGUGGCAGCGCCACCUUGUGGCCAAUAGUUAUAAUGAAAUAUCACAUAAACGCUAAUAACUUUUGAAUAAAUUAGUCUAUUAAAAUUAAAAUGGUCUCGCUAUAUUCUGUGGGUCAUGCCGAGAGUAUUGAUACCAAUAAUGUGAAAAUUGGCCUUACUUCCUGUCCGCCAUUUUGCUUAAUGUUGAAAACCUACUUUUUCGAACUCCUCCUAGACCGUUAGCCCAAUUUUCACCAAAUUUGACGUGAAUCAUCUUCAGACCAUGCUGGCAAAAAGUUAUGGAUUUUGUGUCGAUAUACGUAACGGUUCUCAUUUAGCGCAUCAACGAAUUUGCUGGAAGGGUGCCAAAAUGCAUUUGAGGCUGUAUCUCUGCAACACUUUGACAUAUUUGCACCAAACUUUGUAUGUGUCAUCGCCACCUCACACUGACCAUGCCACAUAAAUUUGGUAACAGCGCCACCUAUUGGUCAAGAGUAAUAAACCAUUCAUUAACCAUGAGUAAUUACACUUUUUAAAAUGCUAAUAACUUUUUAGUCCAUUAGCCUAUUGCAACGAAACUGGGCUCAAAAUAUUCCCUGGCUUAUGCCGAUAACAUAGAUACCAAAUAUGCCAGUGUUUACUGAAGUUCCGGUCCACCAUUUUGAUUUAUGUGGAAAACCUACUUUUUCGAACUCCUCAUGAACCGUAUGUCCAAUUUUCACCAAAUUCGAAUCAGAUGAUCUUCAGACUAUGUUGACACAAAGUUAUGGAUUUUGUGUCGAUAGACAAAACCGUUUUCGCAUACCAAAGCGACGAAGUUGAAACACAAUGACAAAAUGACACUUGAGGCUGCAUCUCUGGAAUGCUGUGGCAUAUUAACACCAAACUUUGUGUGUGUCAUUGAAAAGUCAAACAGAGUACACCAAAUUGAUUUCAUAACAGUGCCACCUAUUGGUCAAACUUUAUAAGCCAAGUAAUCAUGCUACUAGAGGUGGUAUUAUGAUUUUUUUUUUUGCCAUUUCAAUUACAAUAAUUCCAAAAUUACUGUUAUUGCUCAUUAAUGUAUUUGGUGUGAUGCUUCAUGCCAUGCUUAGCUCCUACAUUUGCCGUUGGAGUGCUUGGCCCCGUAAUUGCUGCUUGCAGCUAUAUUUAGGGGCCAAGCACCGAAGGUGCGUAGGCACCUAUUGUUUUCGUUGGCGUUAUUAUUAUUCUUCUUCUUCUUCUUCCGCCGCAAGUCUAUGGCAGCCCAUAGAACCGAUUGCGGGAAAGUUGUAUAAUUUGGCACACUGAUAGAGGACAGUCCCAACAUUAACUAUAGCAAAUUUGAAGUCUCUAUCUCCUACUCUCUAGCGCCACCACUUGUCCAAACUUUCAAUGUUUGUAUGCUAAUAACUUUUGAACCGUAAGCCAGAAAAUGGAAAUUCUUUUUUCCUCUGAAUCCUUGGCUCAUGCCGAGUCGAAUGGACACCAAAAUUCAAAAAUCGCAAGGUUUAGUUUUUUCGCUAUUUUCAAUUAUUCGAAAAACCUACUUUUUCGAACUCGUCCUAGACGGUUAGUCCGAUUGCCACGAAAAUUGGCUCAGAUCAUCUUCAGACCAUGCUGGCAAAAAGUUAUGGAAUUCAAGUUGAUUCGUCCAACUGUUGUCGAAUGACACGUAAACAAAUUUGACGAAAAGCACGCAAACAUGCACGUGAGGCUAUAUCCCGGCAACGGUUUGUCAUAUUGAGACCAAACUUGCCGUGUGUUAUAACAAGCAUGAACUGAGACUACCUGCAGUGUUUCGAAACAGCGCCACCUAGUGGUCAGGAGAUAUGAAAAAUGCAUAUUUUGGCUUAUAACUACUGAAUGGUUUGGCCAAAAAUCACACAACUGGUCUCUUUAGAUUCAGUGAGUCAUGUCGAGUCAAAUGAUAUCCAAUUUUCCCGUGUCGGCCAUUUUAGGCGUCGGCCAUUUUGAAUUAUGAUUUAAAAUGCUGUAUUUUUUGAACGCAGCAUCGUAUCGUUUCGCAAAUAAUUACAAAAAUAUUCGGCUCCAUGCCCUGAAGGUACUCAAAAAGUUUGGUGGCAGCGCCACCUUGUGGCCAAUAGUUAUAAUGAAAUAUCACAUAAAUGCUAAUAACUUUUGAAUAAAUUAGUCUAUUAAAAUUAAAAUGGUCUCGCUAUAUUCUGUGGGUCAUGCCGAGAGUAUUGAUACCAAUAAUGUGAAAAUUGGCCUUACUUCCUGUCCGCCAUUUUGCUUAAUGUUGAAAACCUACUUUUUCGAACUCCUCCUAGACCGUUAGCCCAAUUCUCACCAAAUUUGACGUGAAUCAUCUUCAGACCAUGCUGGCAAAAAGUUAUGGAUUUCGUGUCGAUAUACGUAACGGUUCUCAUUUAGCGCAUCAACGAAUUUGCUGGAAGGGUGCCAAAAUGCAUUUGAGGCUGUAUCUCUGCAACACUUUGACAUAUUUGCACCAAACUUUGUAUGUGUCAUCGCCACCUCACACUGACCAUGCCACAUAAAUUUGGUAACAGCGCCACCUAUUGGUCAAGAGUAAUAAACCAUUCAUUAACCAUGAGUAAUUACACUUUUUAAAAUGCUAAUAACUUUUUAGUCCAUUAGCCUAUUGCAAAGAAACUGGGCUCAAAAUAUUCCCUGGCUUAUGCCGAUAACAUAGAUACCAAAUAUGCCAGUGUUUACUGAAGUUCCGGUCCACCAUUUUGAUUUAUGUGGAAAACCUACUUUUUCGAACUCCUCAUGAACCGUAUGUCCAAUUUUCACCAAAUUCGAAUCAGAUGAUCUUCAGACUAUGUUGACACAAAGUUAUGGAUUUUGUGUCGAUAGACAAAACCGUUUUCGCAUACCAAAGCGACGAAGUUGAAACACAAUGACAAAAUGACACUUGAGGCUGCAUCUCUGGAAUGCUGUGGCAUAUUAACACCAAACUUUGUGUGUGUCAUUGAAAAGUCAAACAGAGUACACCAAAUUGAUUUCAUAACAGUGCCACCUAUUGGUCAAACUUUAUAAGCCAAGUAAUCAUGCUACUAGAGGUGGUAUUAUGAUUUUUUUUUUGCCAUUUCAAUUACAAUAAUUCCAAAAUUACUGUUAUUGCUCAUUAAUGUAUUUGGUGUGAUGCUUCAUGCCAUGCUUAGCUCCUACAUUUGCCGUUGGAGUGCUUGGCCCCGUAAUUGCUGCUUGCAGCUAUAUUUCUUCUUCUUCUUCUUCUUCCGCCGCAAGUCUAUGGCAGCCCAUAGAACCGUUUGCGGGAAAGUUGUAUAAUUUGGCACACUGAUAGAGGACUGUCCCAACAUUAACUA